rnacentral:ncRNA from 1 species
AAUAAUGCGACGAAGGGAACAAGUAUAUUAAGGAAAGUUUUCAGAGAGGAAUCCUUAAAUAGCUGGAAGGGGUUCUAAAUGGAACUUAAUAGAAUGCAUCCCGGAGCACUAAGCUGAAGAUUAUAGUAGGUUUAGCAGGUGCGCCUGAUAUAGCGCAAAGAGAUAUUAUGUUAAAUUAUUCGAACAUAAUAAUCAGAGUGGGACCGCGGAUAUUUCUGCCUCUGUU